rnacentral:rRNA from 1 species
GAUGAACGCUGACAGAAUGCUUAACACAUGCAAGUCUACUUGAACUUCGGUUUGGGUGGCGGACGGGUGAGUAACGCGUAAAGAACUAGCCUCACAGUUAGGGACAACAUUUGGAAACGAAUGCUAAUACCUGAUAUUAUGAUUUUAGGGCAUCCUAAGAUUAUGAAAGCUAUAUGCACUGUGAGAGAGCUUUGCGUCCCAUUAGCUAGUUGGAGAGGUAACGGCUCACCAAGGCGAUGAUGGGUAGCCGGCCUGAGAGGGUGAACGGCCACAAGGGGACUGAGACACGGCCCUUACUCCUACGGGAGGCAGCAGUGGGGAAUAUUGGACAAUGGACCAAAAGUCUGAUCCAGCAAUUCUGUGUGCACGAUGACGUUUUUCGGAAUGUAAAGUGCUUUCAGUUGGGAAGAAAAAAAUGACGGUACCAACAGAAGAAGUGACGGCUAAAUACGUG